rnacentral:rRNA from 1 species
GGUAGUGGGGGACAACGUUUCGAAAGGAACGCUAAUACCGCAUACGUCCUACGGGAGAAAGCAGGGGACCUUCGGGCCUUGCGCUAUCAGAUGAGCCUAGGUCGGAUUAGCUAGUUGGUGAGGUAAAGGCUCACCAAGGCGACGAUCCGUAACUGGUCUGAGAGGAUGAUCAGUCACACUGGAACUGAGACACGGUCCAGACUCCUACGGGAGGCAGCAGUGGGGAAUAUUGGACAAUGGGCGAAAGCCUGAUCCAGCCAUGCCGCGUGUGUGAAGAAGGUCUUCGGAUUGUAAAGCACUUUAAGUUGGGAGGAAGGGCAGUAAGCUAAUACCUUGCUGUUUUGACGUUACCGACAGAAUAAGCACCGGCUAACUUCGUGCCAGCAGCCGCGGUAAUACGAAGGGUGCAAGCGUUAAUCGGAAUUACUGGGCGUAAAGCGCG